ensembl:lncRNA
UUCUGAAGCACUGUCUCUGUAUGUUCUGUGCUAGGUGUACCUGAGGUCACUGAUGGUGACAGGAUCAGAGGUCAGUCAUUAAUCUAUUGACCACAACUAAUCUCUGACACUCUUAUCUGUGAAUUGUACCAUUCUCAUCUUGUCAUCUUUCACAUGUAACCCAACAGGGAUUGGUGCAGUGAUGGGUUCACUGUGUUUCGUUGCUGUGGCACUGUGGGGGUGCUGUGGCACUGUGGUGCAAACUGAGAAAUACAACAAGCCAAUGACAGAGAACAGGAAGAACUAUCAACACUCAACCCUCAACAUGACCCUGAAAUCCAGAGGUCUAAUCUAACACAUAUUCAAAUGAGUUGCAUUCCUGCAUUGUUGUUCUGAUGUUACUCAUGUCACUUACAUACCUCAUAAAACAAAUAUGUUAAUUACCCUGAUUUAUACAGAACAAUAUGUUAAUUACCCUGAUUUAUACAGAACAAUAUGUGACUUACCCUGAUUUAUACAGAACAAUAUGUGACUUACCCUGAUUUAUACAGAACAAUAUGUUAAUUACCCUGAUUUAUACAGAACAAUAUGUUAAUUACCCCGAUUUAUACAGAACAAUAUGUUAAUUACCCUGAUUUAUACAGAACAAUAUGUUAAUUACCCCGAUUUAUACAGAACAAUAUGUUAAUUACCCUGAUUUAUACAGAACAAUAUGUUAAUUACCCUGAUUUAUACAGAACAAUAUGUUAAUAUACCCUCUUUAUAAAGAACAAUAUGUGAAUUACCCUGAUUUAUACACAACAAUAUGUGAAUUACCCUCUUUACACACAACAAUAUGUGAAUUACCCUGAUUUAUACAGAACAAUAUGUGAAUUACCCUGAUUUAUACAGAACAAUAUGUGAAUUACCCUGAUUUAUACAGAACAAUAUGUUAAUUACCCUCUUUACACACAACAAUAUGUGAAUUACCCUGAUUUAUACAGAACAAUAUGUUAAUUACCCUCUUUACACACAACAAUAUGUGAAUUACCCUGAUUUAUACAGAACAAUAUGUGAAUUACCCUGAUUUAUACAGAACAAUAUGUUAAUUACCCUGAUUUAUACACACCGAUAUGUUAAUAUACCCUCUUUAUACAGAACAAUAUGUUAAUUACCCUCUUUACACACAACAAUAUGUGAAUUACCCUGAUUUAUACAGAACAAUAUGUUAAUAUACCCUCUUUAUAAAGAACAAUAUGUGAAUUACCCUGAUUUAUACAGAACAAUAUGUGAAUUACCCUGAUUUAUACAGAACAAUAUGUGAAUUACCCUGAUUUAUACAGAACAAUAUGUUAAUUACCCUCUUUACACACAACAAUAUGUGAAUUACCCUGAUUUAUACAGAACAAUAUGUGAAUUACCCUCUUUACACACAACAAUAUGUGAAUUACCCUGAUUUAUACAGAACAAUAUGUUAAUUACCCUCUUUACACACAACAAUAUGUGAAUUACCCUGAUUUAUACAGAACAGUAUGUGAAUUACCCUGAUUUAUACACAACAAUAUGUUAAUUACCCUCUUUAUACACACCGAUAUGAAAAUGUUUCUAAAGGAUUACCGAGCGACUAUCAUACUGUCUCACACACAUCUGUGUGGCUCGGAGACAGUUGAGUUGUCUUGGACAGAUACUGAUUAGCUGACUGAAUGGUUAAUGACAUGCAUAUAGUCCUGCGGGUUAUUGUAUAAAUAUGUUCAUAUGUAGCCUAUGUAAAUAUAUUAGCAGUUUGGUCAUGAAGAAACACUAGAUGUGUGUGUUUCAUUCUUCAAUUUUUUAUACAUUUAAGUGUUGUAAUAUUAUAGCCUACACAAUGUCAUCAUAAUGUACUCUGUGGUGGGUUUUGAUGUAUGAAUUGUCAUAAAUCUGCUGCUGGCAAAGCUUAAACGAAUUGUCUGAUUCUUCUGCCACUCGAGACCAGCCAAUGUUGCGAAUACCUGCCACUAGGGGUCGCUUGAAUAUAAUUUAGGGAGAGAGGUGGUAGAGAAACGGUUUUGAUAGUUUUGCAGCGCUCAUGCAACAUCGCCAACAGUGUACCCAAUACAAUUUGCUAUAUAGGUCCACUUGACAGUCUCUGUUCUCUGACGCCGCUCUUGUAGAGGCAGAACGCAUCACACACGAUCUGUUCAGCUUUAAGACUUUUGAUGCAUGGAUUUGAUAGUCAGUGUAGAAUAUUGUGUUAUUGCAGAGGACGGAAUUAAAUAAAUCUCACUAACUCCAUGCACUGCUCAACGGGUAAGUCUUUUUUUAACCAGUAUUCAUUUGUUAUAGGGCCCAGUUAAAAUAAAACAUUGUUCUGUUUAAUAUGCAUAUAAAUACGUUCAUC